AUCCCACUUCUCCCCUUAACCCGGCUACUUUGCUUCCUCUUUCAUCUCAUUCUCCCUCCCCAGCCCACUCCUGUCCUGAACUCAUAGACAUACUUACCAAAUUCCAAGAAGGCCUAACCGACCUUCCUCUAUCUGACCCAGACCUUGCUCUAUAUGUAGAUGGGAGUUCCAGCUAAGGGGCAGUGAAAAGCAGCUUAUGCAGUAGUCACAGAUUUAGCCACCCUCAAGGCUCACCGACUUCCCGAUGGAACCACCUCACGAAAAGUGGAACUCAUUGCCUUAACCCGAGCUCUCACGCUUGCACAGGGAAACUCGCAUAAGAGAAAUCUCCAGGACAGCAGUAAACCAAAUGCUGCUUCACGCCUAUGUCUGACUCCCAACCGAGGCACCGGCCAACUGACCUCCCUACUCCACCCCUGUUCAGCAGGAAGUAACCAGAAAGAAGCAACAUCCUAUGUCAUCGAAAAGAUCGGAAUGUAAGGCCGGUUGCCUAGUCGGGGGCCAAAUGGACACACCCAUUCCUCUCCAUACCUGAAAACGACGUCAUCAUUCUGA
rnacentral:lncRNA from 1 species